UACAGAGGGUGCGAGCGUUGUCCGGAAUCACUGGGCGUAAAGGGCGCGUAGGCGGCGCGGUAAGCGUGCGGUGAAAGCCCGGGGCUCAACCCCGGGUCGGCCGUGCGGACUGCCGGGCUGGAGCACUGUAGAGGCAGGUGGAAUUCCGGGUGUAGCGGUGGAAUGCGUAGAGAUCCGGAAGAACACCGGUGGCGAAGGCG
rnacentral:rRNA from 1 species